rnacentral:rRNA from 1 species
UGGGGAAUUUUGGACAAUGGGGGAAACCCUGAUCCAGCCAUCCCGCGUGUGCGAUGAAGGCCUUCGGGUUGUAAAGCACUUUUGGCAGGAAAGAAACGUCGCGGGUUAAUACCCCGCGAAACUGACGGUACCUGCAGAAUAAGCACCGGCUAACUACGUGCCAGCAGCCGCGGUAAUACGUAGGGUGCAAGCGUUAAUCGGAAUUACUGGGCGUAAAGCGUGCGCAGGCGGUUCGGAAAGAAAGAUGUGAAAUCCCAGAGCUUAACUUUGGAACUGCAUUUUUAACUACCGGGCUAGAGUGUGUCAGAGGGAGGUGGAAUUCCGCGUGUAGCAGUGAAAUGCGUAGAUAUGCGGAGGAACACCGAUGGCGAAGGCAGCCUCCUGGGAUAACACUGACGCUCAUGCACGAAAGCGUGGGGAGCAAACAGGAUUAGAUACCCUGGUAGUCCACGCCCUAAACGAUGUCAACUAGCUGUUGGGGCCUUCGAGCCUUGGUAGCGCAGCUAACGCGUGAAGUUGACCGCCUGGGGAGUACGGUCGCAAGAUUAAAACUCAAAGGAAUUGACGGGGGUCAUAGCUGUUUUCCU